rnacentral:misc_RNA from 1 species
CCUUUAAAAAGUGAACCAUUGCGAGGGUUAUCAGUAGAGCCAUCUGAAUCUGGGUUAUCAGGUUCUGAUUCUCAUGCUUUACAUCCUACAGCCCAAGAAAGGGAAAGUAAAAUUCCAUUGGAAAUUGAUACUCAUAAUAGAAUUGAGAAAUCUGCUGAUGAAUAUAAUGAACGGCGAUCAAAGAGGAGCUAUCGUUCUAGGUCUAAAAGGGCUGAAGAUGAAGAUGAAGAAGAGGAGGAAUUGAAGGAUAACAGGGAUCACAAGCAUUCAAGGAAAAAGAGGCGUUCUCAUCGCUCUUCCCAUCGCAGCAGGGACAGACAUAAGCGCAGGAAAAGACAUUCCUCUUCUCAGGAUGGAGAAUCUCAACAUCAACACAAGAGCAGUAGCUCCUUGGAUGAACAUCAGCACAAGCAAGACAGCUCUUCUGAAGAUGGGUAUAGGCGAUCUAGACAUAAGCACAAGCAUGAUAGCUCAUCAGAUGAUGAGCAUAGACACUCUAGAAGGAAGCAUGGGCAUGACAGUUCCUCAGAUGAUGAGCAUAGACACUCUAGAAGGAAGCAUGGGCAUGACAGCUCCCCUGAUGAUGAGUACAGACGCUCUCGACGCAGGCGCAAGCACGAUAGCUCAUCUGAUGAGUAUACAUACUCCCGACAUGGUCAGAGGCAUGAUUCUGAUGAUGAGCAUCAGAACUGUCGACAUCAGCAUAAGCAUGCUAGCUCCUCCAAUGAUGAGAGUCAGCGUCGAUCCAGAUCUGUAAAACAUAGAAAGAGCUCUCGCACAGAAAGAGAAACAGACUUGGAGGAAGGAGAGAUCAUUACAAAAUCAGAUCAGUCGAAAGUUAGUGAGGGUGGUGAUGGCGCUAGUAGGGAAGCUUCUGUGGAUAUAUCAAAAUCAUACCAAGAGGUGAGGGCCUCAUCUCAGCAUUCUGAGUCCACUGAAGUUUCUAAUGAUCUUAGAGCAAAAAUUCGAGCCAUGUUGAUGGCAACCCUGUAAGUAGCCACAACAUAUAUCUCAAGUUUAUUGCUUUACAGCGAUUGUAUCCUUAUCAAUUCUCCAGGUCAAUUCUUGUAGAAAUGUGUUUCAGA